GCAGCUGUGUGUUAGGGCUAGGAUGGCUCCGGGAUGCGCGUGAGGCAAGUGACCUUGCGUGUAAAGGGAUACAUGAUCCCUUAAUUCAGGCUCAGGCUGAAGAACUGACCCACUUACGACAGAAGAUACAGGAAGGGAGAGGUGUCUGCUACCUUUUCACCCAGCAUGUGAAGAACACAGUCAAGUCUUUUGAGGGCCUUCUCAGGAACACUGACAUUGCCUACUACCAGAGACAGAGAUUCUGUGAGCAAAUGGUACAAGGAAGCCAGCUGACAGAGAUCCUUGUCAGAAAACUUGCCACAGGCACACUUUACUCCCAGUCAAAAGUGGACUGUAUACUUCCUCUUUGAUGUGAUGGUCCCUUUGGUUUUGGUGCCUCUUCCAUGAGCUUCAGAUCAGAACUAGCUAUGUGGUUCCAGGCUGCCUUGGUUUAAUCCCUUGUCUUGCCUACUUCACCUGGCUCAAGAGGGAAGUCCAGGAGGAAGAAAUGGAUGAAGUCCUGGAGGACUCACUAGAUGAACAGUAUUUGACUCAUUCCAGCUGCCAUGACUCCCACCAGCUUCCCAGCAGCAAUGCCUUCCUCUUUGAUGCACAGGAAGGCCCCUUGGCUGUGGAAAUAGCCAAAGAUGAGAUCCAGAGCCAGUGGCAGCACCUGAAGGAGACCCUUUUCAUCAACAACUGCCUGUGAGAAAAGCUAGAACGUCAUCACAGCAGCUUUGAUGAAGAAAAUGGUAGGAGAGGCCCAAGCAAAUCAUAGAUUCCAUUGUCCAGCUGUAUAAUGAAAACAGAGUUCUCAGAGAAGAAUACCGGAGACUCCCCCGACUUGCCUGAAUCAAAUUUCCAGAGGUAACAACUAAUGUUGGAACUAUGGAAAGUUCUUCUCUACUUUUAACAAAGCUUAGUCACAAACAGUUCCCCAGUUGAUGAGAAAAACUAAAACAACAGAACAAUUGAAAGUCCAAAUCUGAAAGCUCCAUCUCUGAGAAGCAAAUUUUAUAGCCACUCCAGAUUUGUAUUCCAAAUGGAUAGUUUGAUUGUAGAAAUCACAUCCCUUCAGUCUGCAAA
rnacentral:lncRNA from 1 species